GAUGAACGCUGGCGGCGUGCCUAAUACAUGCAAGUCGAGCGAACGGACGAGAAGCUUGCUUCUCUGAUGUUAGCGGCGGACGGGUGAGUAACACGUGGAUAACCUACCUAUAAGACUGGGAUAACUUCGGGAAACCGGAGCUAAUACCGGAUAAUAUUUUGAACCGCAUGGUUCAAAAGUGAAAGACGGUCUUGCUGUCACUUAUAGAUGGAUCCGCGCUGCAUUAGCUAGUUGGUAAGGUAACGGCUUACCAAGGCAACGAUGCAUAGCCGACCUGAGAGGGUGAUCAGCCACACUGGAACUGAGACACGGUCCAGACUCCUACGGGAGGCAGCAGUAGGGAAUCUUGAGCAAUGGGCGAAAGCCUGAUGGAGCAACGCCGCGUGAGUGAUGAAGGUCUUCGGAUCGUAAAACUCUGUUAUUAGGGAAGAACAGAUGUAUAAGUAACUGUGCACAUCUUGACGGUACCAAAACAGAAAGCAACGGCUAACUACGUG
rnacentral:rRNA from 1 species